ACGCUUGUGUUCUGUUUCUCUUCUCUUUUUUCCAUGUUGCCUGGCAGUGCCUCACUGGAGUUCCCAUUACCCCCGGGCACACUUGUGACCAAGUGAGGUGCCAAAAAAAGAGGUAUCUCCUAAACAGGCUUCUGCUGAGUGCUGUCCUCGUCUUGGGGAUUGGCGACUCCACCACCAGAAGUAGCAGGCAUUUUGGGACAUCCAAGGUACCGCAGUGAGCGUGUCCUGUUCCUGGUAAAGGUGUGGGCGUUCCUGGACAUAAAGGUAUCUUCAUGCUUUCCCCAUGUGCCAAGUACCCCGCCAGAUGCUAUUCAGCUUUUGGCACCCCCUAAGUUGCUGCAAUGUCUGCGCCCUGAUUUUGGGAGUGAGGUAAGUGACACCUUUGAAAACAAGCGAUAUUUUAGGGUCAAAAACAGGGAUUUCUAUGAAAAUAA